GUUAAUGUAGCUUAAUAAUAUAAAGCAAGGCA
rnacentral:tRNA from 1 species